AUUGAACGCUGGCGGCAUGCCUUACACAUGCAAGUCGAACGGUAACGCGGGGCAACCUGGCGACGAGUGGCGAACGGGUGAGUAACGCAUCGGAACGUGCCCAGUAGUGGGGAUAGCCCGGCGAAAGCCGGAUUAAUACCGCAUACGACCUACGGGUGAAAGAGGGGGAUCGCAAGACCUCUCGCUAUUGGAGAGGCCGAUGUCAGAUUAGGUAGUUGGUGGGGUAAAGGCCUACCAAGCCUACGAUCUGUAGUUGGUCUGAGAGGACGACCAGCCACACUGGGACUGAGACACGGCCCAGACUCCUACGGGAGGCAGCAGUGGGGAAUUUUGGACAAUGGGCGCAAGCCUGAUCCAGCCAUGCCGCGUGCGGGAAGAAGGCCUUCGGGUUGUAAACCGCUUUUGUCAGGGAAGAAACGCUCUGGACUAAUACUCUGGGGUAAUGACGGUACCUGAAGAAUAAGCACCGGCUAACUACGUGCCAGCAGCCGCCGUAA
rnacentral:rRNA from 1 species